rnacentral:rRNA from 1 species
GAGCGAACAGACGAGGAGCUUGCUCCUUCGACGUUAGCGGCGGACGGGUGAGUAACACGUAGGUAACCUACCUAUAAGACUGGGAUAACUUCGGGAAACCGGAGCUAAUACCGGAUAAUAUUUCGAACCGCAUGGUUCGAUAGUGAAAGAUGGCUUUGCUAUCACUUAUAGAUGGACCUGCGCCGUAUUAGCUAGUUGGUAAGGUAACGGCUUACCAAGGCAACGAUACGUAGCCGACCUGAGAGGGUGAUCGGCCACACUGGAACUGAGACACGGUCCAGACUCCUACGGGAGGCAGCAGUAGGGAAUCUUCCGCAAUGGGCGAAAGCCUGACGGAGCAACGCCGCGUGAGUGAUGAAGGUCUUCGGAUCGUAAAACUCUGUUAUUAGGGAAGAACAAACGUGUAAGUAACUGUGCACGUCUUGACGGUACCUAAUCAGAAAGCCACGGCUAACUACGUGCCAGCAGCCGCGGUAAUACGUAGGUGGCAAGCGUUAUCCGGAAUUAUUGGGCGUAAAGCGCGCGUAGGCGGUUUUUUAAGUCUGAUGUGAAAGCCCACGGCUCAACCGUGGAGGGUCAUUGGAAACUGGAAAACUUGAGUGCAGAAGAGGAAAGUGGAAUUCCAUGUGUAGCGGUGAAAUGCGCAGAGAUAUGGAGGAACACCAGUGGCGAAGGCGACUUUCUGGUCUGUAACUGACGCUGAUGUGCGAAAGCGUGGGGAUCAAACAGGAU